rfam:Lentinula edodes NBRC 111202 DNA, contig: scaffold1598.
GGGCAUAUGGUGUAGGGGUUAUCACGUUCGCUUUGCAUACUACUUGAUUCAAUAACGCCUUGCGAAAGGUCUCCGGUUCAAAUCCGGAUUUGUCCA